AGUGUGUCGUGGCAGUGUUAUACAUUCUUUCUUUUACUUAACAUGGUGGAUGAAGCAGUGGGAACUAGGAAUUUAGCUUCUUCACUCAGCAAGGUGAAUGUGAUAACACAAUUCCAAAAUAAUGAGUGCUGUGAUUGACCUUUUCAUGUAAAUGCUUCCAAUUGCAGACAGCCACUUUAAACAUUGUGUUGGACAUGUUGGGAACAGAUUAUCAUGGUUACGAUAUUCGCAUUUGUUUUUUUUGGCCUUUAUUUGCUACCUCUCGGUCUAGAGUUGUCAAACUAGAACUAGCCCAUUCUUGUCGUAGAGAAGUAUGGCGGAUGUUAGGGAUGGCAAGUUAUGUUUAGACUAAUUAGUUGUGGAGUACAAACCAACGAAUGGUUGUCUCCAUUUAAGCCAUUGAUUGGGCCUCCCGUUGUCUUCAUCAGGUUGUAAACAGAACUCUCAGGUGAAGCAAGUUAGGUUCAUCUUGGACGUUCUUCAGUUGAAUUGAUUCAUAAGAUGCAAGGAAGAAAUAACAGGGAAUUUGGUAACAGCUUACCAUUCAUCUGGGGUCACAGGAUCGUGCAUUUCCCAGGCACCAACCUGAAUCAUCUAGCAACCUCAUAUUUAGUGAAGAGGGGAAGAAGGCUAAGAAGGAAAAAGACUAAUUCAUUGAAAUUAUCCAUCCAAUGGAGCAGUCAUCCACAUUCUUCUUGCUAUCCAGACUGAUACCAAUUCAACCCAAUUCUGUCAUACAAUUUCAGUUGUUAACAAAGUACUCAUACAAAUGCGGGGCUCUUUUGAGAAGCAAAUCACAAGAGAACUCGCUCUGUCUGUGAAGAGAGAGAGAGAGAGAGAGAGAGCGCCAUGGCAUGUACCAGUUCAAUAUCUAUGGCUCAAGCCAGGAAAGGGACUAAGCCUGAAUUCAUCUUGGGUGAUCAUUAAGUUCCAUUGAGCUUGAUUAUGCAAUCUUUCGUCAUCUGUUUUAUUUUAUUAGCAGUAUGUUUUGAAUAGUUUGUAGAUGUUGAGCUUAGCAAUAAAUUUUUUCUAAGUACCAUAAUCUCUUUUAUGGGGCAAAAAAUCAUGUACUCCAAAAUGUUUGCUUAAAUAUUCCUAAUCUCUAGAGGACAAGGGGACCCCUUUCUCAAGUCAGUUGCUUCAAUUUCUGAUAUGUCCUUUUUGUCUGGAAUUGUAAAUUGGUAGCUAGUAUAGCCAGCACAUAUCUAUUUUCCUUUUGUUGUUAACUUUGAAAUCUACCUACAGUUUGUCAUUGCUUUUUGGUUUCAAGUUCACUGAUGGAUGGAAUUUCCUUAUGAAGUACUUCUUCAGCCUGAGCCUCACAGGGUCAAAACAUGACCAAGUUCGAGCAGCCAGCAGCAUCUAGUGAAGAAAAAGAUACUAUUCUGGUCUUCACACUGAAAUGGCUAAGAGAUGAAUGCAAUUUGCAGCAUGGUGAAGAAGAUGCACGCAGAAAGUACUUGAGUCUCAUCUCGACUGCUUUUGAGCGGAGGGCUUUCAUAUCUUAAAGCAGCUAAGCCGAACAUCCACAAAUUUGCUUUCCAGAUGAUUCAAUUGACUUGAUGUGGGCCAUGAAAAGCUCAAGCUGAAGCAUCCAAAGUUUUUGAAACCAUCACCUGUUGCUCCUGAUUCUCGCUCAUUGAUCAUUACCAUCACGUGCUUUGGUAAUAAUAAUUGAUAGCAUGAUCUAGCUCGUCUUAUGUAUGUGAAAUUCCUUUUAAGUUUUGAAUUUUAGCACCCUUCACAUCACCAUAGAUGCUCACUCAUCACGCGGGGACAAAUAUCGUAUUAACAAAUCGAGAGGCAAUCGUACUAACUAAUCAAGUAAAGGGAGAAGUCAAGCUUAUACUAAUAUUAGUUCAUUUAUGAUUGAGCCAUAAAGAUGGUAUUACAUGAUAUUAUUAGCGAGGCAUCUGCACCGUGGUGCAGAUGCCACUGAAGAAGCACAAAAGACAGUAGAGGACAACAUUAAAAUUACGUCACAACCACAUUAUAGGUGACUUUCACAGCACAUGCAUAUAACAUCGGGUUUCUGUGCUCAAUGACCACAGGUGCCACAGGUGCAAUUGGUGCAGGCGCAGCUGCUGCCGCACUUGCACUUGCCAUCAUUCUCAGCAGCCGGAGCAUCCAUGAAGACAGUCUCGAUGUGGCUGCAUCAGUAAGGCAACCAUCAGAAACUGAAACAACUGAUAUCGUGAUACUUAAUAACGUAAAAAAGAAAGUGAUCAAUUGUAAGGUACUUAUGCCAGGUAAAAAUUCGUCUUUCAGGACAAAAAAAGAUGGAAAAAGUUCGAAUUCUUUCUUCAUCAAGUCUGAAAUCUCAGGUGUUCUUCUUUAGAGUUGUGUAGAAGGAGAUGUUUUGCAUAUGCUGUCAAUGAUACUCGUUUAUUGCUGUUCCUGUGUUUUGCAAGGGUGUGUUCUAAUAA